AUUGGAUCUGCAUAAUGUUUUUUUCUAGCCGGCGUCAAGAUGGCGGUGAAAGAGAGGGUAGAGCCGAUGGUGACAUAGACGAGUAGAGAACUGAUGAUCAGCAGCUGCAGUAACAAACAGUCGCCGCCGAACGCUGAUUCAUCUCCAUUGUCGUUGUAUGUGGCCACUGAUUAGAACCUAAUUGCGAUGGACACCCGCAUCUUAUUAAUCAAAGUAAAAUCUUUUAAUGUACUUGCAUUUAAAAGGUGGCCUUUGGGUUAGUAGAUAAUGUGUCUUAAGCAA